rnacentral:lncRNA from 1 species
GAGCCCUUUUCCCCACCGACUGUGGGCGCUUCAGCGCUCAAUCCUUGCCUAUCAAAGAAUGGUGUUAUAUCACGAAUGGAAAAAACAAAACAAAACCAUGAAUGGACGUGAAAAGGGGAUGACCCUUUGUAAGCUCUUGGACGCCUGUGGCCACUCUGUCCAUCCAUUUGCAGCACCGCAGGAAGUGAAUCUCUGCACUCGCCAAGUGGUAUUCAGGAUGAAUCGGAGCGAGCCCUAACCUUAACCUCUCCUGCCACCACCACUCUAUAUAGCCUUUGGCGUGGCUUUCCAUCGAACUCGGCAAAUUUUGCAAAGUGGGGGGAGGGUUUUUUAAAAAUUGCAUUUGCAAAAGUUCGC